ensembl:lncRNA
UUCUGCUAUCGGUAUUCCACAUCAUAACAUCAUGGACAAAAGGAAGAAGAACUAUGUAUCCCAGAGGACCUCACAGUCAGAGAAGGAAGAUACAUCGUAGAAGCUACGUCAUCCGGUUGCGCACGGUCUUUUUCACUUUCGCUUGCUGCCAGGGAGAGGAGUGGGUGUGCUUCCAAGCCGUGCACCUUCAUCAGCCAGGGUGGGCAGCAAGCCUACUGCCUCCCUGUCACAGGCACAGAUUUGUCACGGAGUUAUCUAGGGAAGCAUGGAGAUGCCAGAGCAAAUCCACUGAAGAGCCACAAAGACUAUUAAGAGCUCGUUGCAUCUGUCAUAAAAGGAGAGCCUGAGAGAGCUGUUUGUUCAGCCUGGAGUACAAGAGGCUCAGACAGGUCUUAUCAGUGUAUACAAAUACCUGAUGGGAAAUUUCAACCUCAGUGACUCUGGAAUUCUGUGUUCUGAUCGUUGUUUCACACAUCAGUGUUGGAACAUUCUGCUAAUAAUAAAGUUCAUAAGCAACCAAUGACAUGGGCUGUAGCUGCUGAAGCUAAACUUCUAAGUAAUCCUAAAUGGAAAGAAGAAAAUUGUUCCUGACAAGCUGAAAUUACAUUAUAAAGCCUUCCAUAUUUUGAAAAGCCGUGAGUUGUCCUAGGCAUGGAGCUUAUUUCAGUGUUUAAUGAAACCUGUUUAUAAAGAAAAUAUCUUCCCCGAUAUCAGUUUUCAAAAACGUGUCUCUUAACCCCUGUUUUUUGUUGUUGUUGUUGUUGUUUGUUUUUUGUUUGUUUCUAUUCGUUGUUGGCAUGGAGACAAAGAGGUGCUCCACUACACUGAUCAAUGCAUGGUAUUAUCAACAUAACAUUUUCAGUCAAGUUCCCAGGAGCCUUCCUCCUGAAUCUGUCAUUUUGAUUCAGAUAACUAAAUCAGGCUAAGCACUGCAAUGAUAACGGAUGACUUGCCUCAUUAGCCGUCUCCUGCUGCUUUACUCUGUCAGGAAGCACCACUGUGACUGUCUGGAUUCCUGGGGAAGGUUUGUCUUAGAGGUAGCUGGUCUUGGAAGGAUCUCAAGAGAGAAUGAGAAGAAUUCUCAACAAAAACAAUCACUAUGACCAAUUCAGAGAUGUCUCAUUGUUUCACAAUCUAUGGUAAACAUUGUUACCUGGACUUUUAGAGGAACAUGAGAGAAGAAAUUACAGAAAUAAUAUAUGCUAGCAAAAAGAUGUGUUUUUUGUCCAUAGAAUAUUCAUCAUGGACCUUUGAACAUUUCUUCUCACAGUGUGUAUAUCUUGAAUAUACACUGAAGACUCAAAGGUUGCCUGAUACAGUACUGAGAAUGGAUGAAAAUUUGUGUGCUUAUUCAGUGUAUUCAAUCAUGAUAUGAAUUUUCAUUCUGGAGUGGCAAGACUCAAGUUCUCCUACAUUUCUGACAGGUUUCAUCACAAAGACUGAGAUAGAAUCAGGUGCUCCAGGAAGUGAAGAGCUGUAAGACUUGGCUUUUUUUUUCCUUAUAGCUUUUUCUCCUAGGAGAGCAAUAGCUCGCCUUUUGCUCAACAGCCUUAUGUUCCCAUUCCCAUUUCAAG